rnacentral:rRNA from 1 species
UACGGGGGGGGCAAGCGUUGUUCGGAAUUACUGGGUGUAAAGGGCUCGUAGGCGGCCAACUAAGUCAGACGUGAAAUCCCUCGGCUUAACCGGGGAACUGCGUCUGAUACUGGAUGGCUUGAGUUUGGGAGAGGGAUGCGGAAUUCCAGGUGUAGCGGUGAAAUGCGUAGAUAUCUGGAGGAACACCGGUGGCGAAGGCGGCAUCCUGGACCAAUACUGACGCUGAGGAGCGAAAGCCAGGGGAGCAAACGGG